UCGACGGAGCGCCGGACACGGACUAUUUCGGUAGGAAGCGUGCGGAGGCUUAGUGGCGGACGGGUGAGUAACGCGUGGAUAACCUGCCGCAUACCGGGGGAUAACAGCUGGAAACAGCUGCUAAUACCGCAUAUGCCCGCAGUGCCGCAUGGCACAGCGGGGAAAACUCCGGUGGUAUGCGAUGGGUCCGCGUCUGAUUAGGCAGUUGGCGGGGUAACGGCCCACCAAACCGACGAUCAGUAGCCGGCCUGAGAGGGCGGACGGCCACACUGGGACUGAGACACGGCCCAGACUCCUGCGGGAGGCAGCAGUGGGGAAUAUUGCACAAUGGGGGAAACCCUGAUGCAGCGACGCCGCGUGAAGGAAGAAGUAUCUCGGUAUGUAAACUUCUAUCAGCAGGGAAGAAAACAGACGGUACCUGACUAAGAAGCCCCGGCUAACUACGUGCCAGCAGCCGCGGUAAUACGUAGGGGGCAAGCGUUAUCCGGAUUUACUGGGUGUAAAGGGGGCGCAGACGGCCAUGGCAAGCCCGGUGUGAAAGGCAGGGGCAUAACCCCUGGACUGCACUGGGAACUGUCAGGCUGGAGUGCCGGAGGGGUAAGCGGAAUUCCUGGUGUAGCGGUGAAAUGCGUAGAUACCAGGAGGAACACCGGCGGCGAAGGCGGCUUACUGGACGGAAACUGACGUUGAGGCCCGAAAGCGUGGGGAGCGAACAGGAUUAGAUACCCUGGUAGUCCACGCCGUAAACGAUGUAUACCAGGUGUCGGAUAUCAAGGAUAUCCGGUGCCGAAGCAAACGCAUUAAGUAUACCACCUGGGGAGUACGUUCGCAAGAAUGAAACUCAAAGGAAUUGACGGGGACCCGCACAAGCGGUGGAGCAUGUGGUUUAAU
rnacentral:rRNA from 1 species